rnacentral:rRNA from 1 species
UAAAAAUUUAAUUUAAAAUAUUUAAGUAGUAUUAGUUAAGUUCUUUAAAUUUAAAAAAUUUGGCGGUAUUUUAGUCUAUUCAGAGGAACCUGUUUUAUAAUCGAUAGUCCACGAUGGAUCUUACUUAAAUUUGUUUUAGUUUAUAUAUCGUCGUUAAAAGAAUAUUUUAUAAGAACAAUAAUUUUCUUAAUUUUUAAUUUUAAAAUAUAUCAGAUCAAGAUGUAGCUUAUGUUUGAGUUUAUAAUGGGUUACAAUUAUUGUAUUAUUGGAAAUUAAUGUGUAAUUUAUUAUUUGAAAUUGGAUUUGAUAGUAAAUUUAUAUAGAUUAAUAGAUUGAUUAUAGCUCUAAAAUAUG